AUAAGAACACCUUCGCCUCUCACUCCUCUCUCAUUCUCAUUCCCCACUCAUCUCUCUCAAAGUUUAGUUUUUUCAUUCUGUUUUCGAUUUAGGGUGUUGUAUUUUUCUCUUUGGAUUGUCUUAUCAUGCGUCAAAAUACUGAUUACCAGUGCUCUAAAUCUUGUGAGCUUUGAGUAUGAGCUGACGCCAUAGCAACCCCUAUUCUGCAAUCUUUUGUGAACUGUUUUGUUUUCAAUUCAGUUCCUUUUGCAGAGUAGGAAUAAACAAAUCAUACUCUCAAUUUUACUGUAUUAUUGAAUUCUGCGCUGUAAUUUUAGUAUUUAGCUUCACUGAUUUGUUUUUUUAUCGCAUGAUUCUGUAAUUUAUUUUGUUGAAUUGCGUUUCAAUUGAAAAGUUGCAUUGUAAGGUGGAUGUGAUGAUUAUUUCCCCAGAUGAUCGAAACUGAACAUACUGUGCGAAUUUUGUUUCUCUUCGGAGAAAUCAAGCCAAAUAAUCUGAUCCAUUUUUGCACUAUGAAAUUUGUUACUCAAAAUUAUUGAUUUAUUGAUUUGUAAUAUAUACUUGCAUGUGUAUUGAAAUUUGUGUUUAUUGUUGAUGUUAGAGACUUGGAAGCUUACAAUUUUACAAUUAGUUUAUAAUUAUAAGAUGGGUGUGAUGAUUAUUUCCCCAGAUGAUCGAAACUGAACAUACUGUGCGAUUUUGUUUCUCUUUGGAGAAAUCAAGCCAAAUAAUCUGAUCCAUAAUUGCAUUCUCAACUUGUAUAGUUAAUAAUUCUUUGUAUGUAAUCCUGAGAUGCUGAUUAUUCUGUGUUUUUUUGGGAAUAUUCAUCUGUGUAUGUAUUGUUGUUUUUGUCUCUUUAUUAGGUUUUAAUUUGAUAUGGGUGUGAUGAUUAUUUCCCCAGAUGAUCGAAUCUGAACAUACUGUGCGAACUUUUUUCUCUUUAGAGAAAUCAAGCCUAAUAAUCUGAUCCUU
rnacentral:lncRNA from 1 species